rfam:Capsicum annuum cultivar Zunla-1 chromosome 7, whole genome shotgun sequence
ACCUCGUGGUUUGGACAUUGCGUUAGUUCUCCAUUAAAUCUUUCCCAUACUUUAUACAAAGGCUCUCCAUUCAAUUGCCUAAAGUUAAUGAUUUUAUCCCUCAAUUU